CAGAAGAUAGAGAGCACAUC
rnacentral:miRNA from 1 species